GCGGGCGUAGCUCAGCGGUAGAGCCCCGGUUUUCCAAACCGAAUGUCGUGGGUUCGAUCCCCACCGCCCGCUCCA
rnacentral:tRNA from 1 species